UGGGGAAUUUUGGACAAUGGGGGCAACCCUGAUCCAGCAAUGCCGCGUGUGUGAAGAAGGCCUUCGGGUUGUAAAGCACUUUUGUCCGGAAAGAAAUCGCCCUGGCUAAUAUCCGGGGUGGAUGACGGUACUGGAAGAAUAAGCACCGGCUAACUACGUGCCAGCAGCCGCGGUAAUACGUAGGGUGCAAGCGUUAAUCGGAAUUACUGGGCGUAAAGCGUGCGCAGGCGGUUGUGGCAAGACAAGAUGUGAAAUCCCCCGGGGUCUUAACCUGGGGAAUGGCAUUUGUGACUGCACGGCUAGAGUGUGUCGAGAGGGGGGUAGAAUUCCACGUGUAGCAGUGAAAUGCGUAGAUAUGUGGAGGAACACCGAUGGCGAAGGCAGCCCCCUGGGAUAACACUGACGCUCAUGCACGAAAGCGUGGGGGCAAAACAGGAUUGGAUACCCUGGUAGUCACGCCCUAAAGCG
rnacentral:rRNA from 1 species